rnacentral:rRNA from 1 species
CCAGCCCUACGGGGGGCAGCAGUGGGGGAUAUUGGACAAUGGGGGAAACCCUGAUCCAGCGAUGCCGCGUGAGGGAAGAAGGUUUUCGGAUUGUAAACCUCUGUGGAGGGGGACGAUAAUGACGGUACCCCUUUAAGAAGCCCCGGCUAACUACGUGCCAGCAGCCGCGGUAAUACGUAGGGGGCAAGCGUUAUCCGGAUUUACUGGGUGUGAAGGGAGCGUAGACGGCGAUGCAAGCCAGAUGUGAAAGCCCGCGGCUCAACUGCGGUAGUGCAUUUGGAACUGUAUGGCUGGAGUGCAGGAGG